AACGAACGCUGGCGGCAUGCCUAACGCAUGCAAGUCGAACGGGAUCCGGACUUCGGUCCGGUGAGAGUGGCGGACGGGUGAGUAACACGUGGGAACCUGCCUUUUGGUUCGGGAUAACCGCGGGAAACUGCGGCUAAUACCGGAUGCUCCCGAGAGGGAAAGAUUUAUCGCCAGAAGAGGGGCCCGCGUCCGAUUAGGUAGUUGGUGGGGUAAUGGCCUACCAAGCCGACGAUCGGUAGCUGGUCUGAGAGGAUGAUCAGCCACACUGGGACUGAGAUACGGCCCAGACUCCUACGGGAGGCAGCAGUGGGGAAUAUUGGACAAUGGGGGGCGAACCCUGAUCCAGCAAUGCCGCGUGAGUGAUGAAGGCCUUAGGGUUGUAAAGCUCUUUUGCCAGGGAAGAUGAUGACUGUACCUGGAGAAUAAGCCCCGGCUAACUUCGUGCCAGCAGCCGCGGUAAU
rnacentral:rRNA from 1 species